UACGUAGGGGGCGAGCGUUGUCCGGAUUUAUUGGGCGUAAAGAGCGUGUAGGCGGCCAGGUAGGUCUGCUGUGAAAACUCGAGGCUCAACCUCGAGACGUCGGCGGAAACCAUCUGGCUAGAGUCCGGAAGAGGAGAGUGGAAUUCCGGGUGUAGCGGUGGAAUGCGUAGAGAUCCGGAAGAACACCGGUGGCGAAGGCGGCCUGCUGGGCAGUUGCUGACACUGAGGCGCGACAGCGUGGGGAGCAAACAGG
rnacentral:rRNA from 1 species